AUUGAACGCUGGCGGCAGGCCUAACACAUGCAAGUCGAACGAGUGGCGGACGGGUUAGUAAUGUCUGGGACACUGCCUGAUGGCGGGGGAUAACUACUGGAAACUGUAGCUAAUACCGCAUACCCUCGGAUGUGCCCAGAUGGGCUUUGCUAGUAGGUGGGGUAAAGGAUCACCUGGGCGACGAUCCCUAGCUGGUAUGAGAGGAUGACCAGCCACACUGGAACUGAGACACGGUCCUGACUCCUACGGGAGGCAGCAGUGGGGAAUAUUGGACAAUGGGCGCAAGCCUGAUGCAGCCAUGCCGCGUGUAUGAAGAAGGCCUUCGGUGUGUAAAGUACUUUCAGCGGGGAGGCGUUACCCACAGAAGAAGCACCGGCUAACUCCGUGCCAGCAGCCGCGGUAAUAC
rnacentral:rRNA from 1 species